GCCGGCGGCGGAGACGGAGGCGCAGGUUCCUCAUUAGGACCUGGCGAGCCCAGGCCUAAUCGGCGGCCCCGCGAGGCCUCUGCAUCGCGCCCCGGACGGGGACCCUCCCCGCCUCGCCCUGCCCCGGGAGCUUGCCUCCCCGGCCGGGGAUGAAGCCGGGAGGCGGCCGCGCGGGGCCCAGCACAAAGGCUUGUCCCCGGGGGCCGCCGCCGCCAGCCUAGAGCCGCCCACCGAAGCGGAACCGGCGCCGGGGCCCUCAUCCCCGCCGGUCCCUGGGGGCGGCUGCUGCCCGUCUCCCCGAGGCCCAGGGGCCCAAACGCCGAGCCCCGUGCUCCCUCGUCUACGGUGGGACCGGGCAGCUGCGCAGUCUCCGCCGCUCCCGGCCGUAGAGGCCCCACGGAGCAUGUCCGAGGAGAGCGACAUGGAGAAAGCCAUCAAGGAAACCUCCAUUUUAGAGGAAUACAAUAUCAAUUGGACUCAGAAGCUGGGAGCUGGAAUUAGUGGUCCAGUUAGAGUCUGUGUAAAGAAAUCUACUCAAGAACGGUUUGCACUGAAAAUUCUUUUUGAUCGUCCAAAAGCUAGAAAUGAGGUACGUCUGCACAUGAUGUGUGCCACACACCCAAAUAUAGUUCAAAUUAUUGAAGUGUUUGCUAACAGUGUACAGUUUCCUCAUGAGUCCAGCCCCAGGGCUCGACUCUUAAUUGUAAUGGAGAUGAUGGAAGGGGGAGAGCUAUUUCACAGAAUCAGCCAGCACCGGCACUUUACAGAGAAGCAAGCCAGCCAAGUAACAAAGCAGAUAGCUUUGGCUCUACGGCACUGUCACUUGUUAAACAUUGCUCACAGAGACCUCAAGCCUGAAAAUCUGCUCUUCAAGGAUAACUCGUUGGAUGCCCCAGUGAAGUUGUGUGACUUUGGAUUUGCCAAAAUUGACCAAGGUGACUUGAUGACACCCCAGUUCACCCCUUAUUAUGUUGCACCUCAGGUACUGGAGGCACAGAGAAGGCACCAGAAGGAGAAAUCUGGCAUCAUACCUACCUCGCCAACGCCCUACACUUACAACAAGAGCUGUGACUUGUGGUCCCUAGGGGUGAUUAUCUACGUGAUGUUGUGCGGAUACCCUCCUUUUUACUCCAAACACCACAGCCGGACUAUCCCAAAGGAUAUGCGGAGAAAGAUCAUGACAGGCAGUUUUGAGUUCCCAGAAGAAGAGUGGAGCCAGAUUUCAGAGAUGGCCAAAGAUGUUGUGAGGAAGCUCUUGAAGGUCAAACCAGAGGAAAGACUCACCAUUGAGGGAGUAUUGGACCACCCGUGGCUCAACUCGACGGAGGCCUUGGAUAAUGUGCUACCGUCUGCUCAACUGAUGAUGGAUAAGGCGGUGGUUGCAGGCAUCCAGCAGGCUCAUGCAGAACAGUUGGCCAACAUGAGAAUCCAGGAUCUGAAAGUCAGCCUCAAACCCCUUCACUCUGUGAACAACCCCAUUCUGAGGAAGAGGAAAUUACUCGGCACCAAGCCAAAGGAUGGUGUUUAUAUCCACGACCGUGAGAAUGGAGCCGAGGAUUCAAACGUUGCCUUGGAAAAGCUCCGAGACGUGAUUGCUCAGUGUAUUCUCCCCCAGGCUGGUAAAGGUCACGCCAUUUAUGAAUGUUCUGCGUACGUGGGUGCACAUGCUAGAAGGAGCAGUUUAAUUUGAGGUUGUCUUCCUCAUCUUUGUGUUCUAAGAGAAUAAGUACAUUAUAUAAAUUAUUCCGUGUCCACUAAAAAGAGACGGCAGUGGGAACUCAGAAAGGUGGUAAGUUCUGCCCCUCCUUUGGGUUUUCUGUGAAACUGCUAGUUGAAGUUUAUUUAUCGAGUCUGGUGCAGCAUGCAGUUUUGUGUUUUCUUGGUUUGUUAAUGAGGGCACAGGACAGAAGACGAAGAACAGAAAAUGUGGACAGGGUCUGGAUCAGCUUGUGAAGGUCAGGAAACAUUUCUAGAGCCUUUAGAGUGCUAGGCUGUCAUUAACUCGUGAAUAUAAAGAGAGUACCUCCCAGAAGUUCAGAAGUGCCCCUUGCUGCUAUGUGUAUCAUGGCCAGACUAUGACUUGUACAUGUCUCCUUUUGAGCGAGAGCUUUCUUUUAGUGUAGUUUCUCCAUUCAGUGGGGUAUAAUGGGCUCUUCUUGGCAGAUGAAUGAGAUGCUUCAAGUAGGCAACCAGAAAACUAUCUAAAUUCCUUGGGUUUUCAGAGAAUUCACAUAGUGUACUUAGAUAGCUUCCAAAGUAAGAAAAGAGCUUAGGAGAAAGAAGGUGGUCCACUCAGCCUUGUUCUCCCUUCUUCUCCUGGUUUCUUAGAUUAACCAUGUGUUUUUGCUCAGCAGCAGAGUCUGAUUCUGCCUACUCCCCAUACCCUAGUGCUAAGACCCUGGGGACAUCAGAAGAUUUGUGUGAGACUGUCAGAGUAGAAGAAUGCAAAGCCCAGAAGUGGCCUACGUGUAAUGUAGGGACAGGAGAGAAUGAAGACGAAAAGUUGAAUGAAGUAAUGCAGGAGGCUUGGAAGUAUAACCGGGA